GAAAUGCGAUAAGUAAUGUGAAUUGCAGAAUUCAGUGAAUCAUCGAAUCUUUGAACGCACCUUGCGCCCUUUGGCUAUUCCGAAGGGCAUGCCUGUUUGAGUAUCAUGAACACCUCAACUCUCAUGGUUUGCCAUGAUGAGCUUGGACUUUGGGGGUCUUGCUGGCCUGUGGUCGGCUCCUCUCAAACGAAUCAGCUUGCCAGUGUUUGGUGGCAUCACGGGUGUGAUAACUAUCUACGCCUGUGGUUUUCCGCCAGAUAACCUUCAGUGACAUGGAGGUUUGCUCUGGAGCUCAUAAACGUCUCUCUCCAGCGAAGACAGCUUUGUGAACGUUUGAUCUCAAAUCAGGUAGGACUACCCGCUGAACUUAAGCAUAUCAAUAAGCGGAGGAAAAGAAACU
rnacentral:rRNA from 1 species